GUCUAUGGCCGUACCACCCUGGGAACGCCCAAUCUCGUCUGAUCUCGGAAGUUAAACAGGGUCAGGCCCGGUUAGUACUUGGAUGGGAGACCUGCUGGGAAUACCGGGUGCUGUAGGCU
rnacentral:rRNA from 1 species